rnacentral:piRNA from 1 species
UGUCUUUAGGUACGCACCAUCUUUGC